UGGGGAAUAUUGCACAAUGGGCGAAAGCCUGAUGCAGCAACGCCGCGUGAGGGACGACGGCCUUCGGGUUGUAAACCUCUUUUAGCAAGGAAGAAGCGAAAGUGACGGUACUUGCAGGAAAAGCGCCGGCUAACUACGUGCCAGCAGCCGCGGUAAUACGUAGGGCGCAAGCGUUAUCCGGAAUUAUUGGGCGUAAAGAGCUCGUAGGCGGUUUGUCGCGUCUGCUGUGAAAACCCGAGGCUCAACCUCGGGCCUGCAGUGGGUACGGGCAGACCAGAGUGCGGUAGGGGAGAUUGGAACUCCUGGUGUAGCGGUGGAAUGCGCAGAUAUCAGGAAGAACACCGAUGGCGAAGGCAGAUCUCUGGGCCGUAACUGACGCUGAGGAGCGAAAGGGUGGGGAGCAAACAGGCUUAGAUACCCUGGUAGUCCACCCCGUAAACGUUGGGAACUAGUUGUGGGUCCAUUCCACGGAUUCCGUGACGCAGCUAACGCAUUAAGUUCCCCGCCUGGGGAGUACGGCCGCAAGGCUAAAACUC
rnacentral:rRNA from 1 species